AUGGAGCUGGAGCUGGGGCUUGCGCCGCCCAACCACGCGGGCUCGUGCGGGAAGAGGGGCGUGGCGGAGGCGUUCGGAAUCAAGAAACCCACGCUGCCACUCUUCCUGGGCGACGACGACGACGACGGUGGCCACGGCCACGGCGAAGACGGCACUGGCGACACUCGCGACUGGGAGAUGGGCAGCAAGAGGAGGAGGCUUGUGGGGUGGCCGCCGGUGAAGAUCGGGCACCGUCCGCGCAGCAACGGCCACGUGAAGGUGAAGAUGGAAGGGGUGCCCAUCGGGAGGAAGGUGGACCUGUCCCGCCACGCCUCCUACCACCAGCUCCACCACACGCUCCGCCUCAUGUUCCCAUCCUCCACUUCUCACCAUGGCGAUCCAUACGCCGUCACCUACGAGGACGGGGAUGGGGACUGGAUGCUCGUCGGAGACGUGCCGUGGGAGGAGUUUAGCAAGUCGGCUAGACGGCUCAACAUACUCAUGUCACCACCGACGACUACACUUGGCACUGCUGGUUGA
rnacentral:rRNA from 1 species